rnacentral:lncRNA from 1 species
CGUUUAUGGCUCAGAUACUAGAUUUGUUGGGAAUUUUACCCCUAAACUUGAAUCAAUGACAAAAAUAAAAUCAAACAACCAUAAAGCAGUAGAAUCAACACAAGAAAUUGUUCACCCAAUUCGGUUAAGCCUAACCUGAGGGCUUAGAGGCAAGCUCGUCUCUAGUGCAAAAGACCGUCAAGGGAGAGUGUAUAAUCAGAGAUUAAACUAAAUUGAAAACCAAAUUUGGUCAUCGAUCUACAUAGAUCUCGCAAAUAAUUAACCCUAACCAACCUUGACUGCUAGAACCCUAGACCUAGUGUAGAUUUACCAACCAGUAAUUAGGCUUUAAACACUGCACUUCCACUAGUAAUGACACAGUAGGAUUACCAAACGCGAAUCAAUAUUACAGAUUGAAGAGGAAGAUGAAUACAAACUCCAAAAACAGAGAGAAAC